UACAGAGGGUGCAAGCGUUAAUCGGAAUUAUUGGGCGUAAAGGGCAUGUAGGUGGAUAAGUAAGUUGGAUGUGAAAGCCCCGGGCUCAACCUGGGAAUGCCAUUCAAAACUGCUUGUCUAGAGUAUGGUAGAGGGAAGUGGAAUUUCAGGUGUAGCGGUGAAAUGCGUAGAUAUCUGAAGGAACACCAGUGGCGAAGGCGGCUUCCUGGACUAAUACUGACACUGAGAUGCGAAAGCGUGGGUAGCGAACAGG
rnacentral:rRNA from 1 species